UGGGGAAUUUUGGACAAUGGGCGAAAGCCUGAUCCAGCAAUGCCGCGUGUGUGAAGAAGGCCUUCGGGUUGUAAAGCACUUUUGUCCGGAAAGAAAUCCUUGGCUCUAAUACAGUCGGGGGAUGACGGUACCGGAAGAAUAAGCACCGGCUAACUACGUGCCAGCAGCCGCGGUAAUACGUAGGGUGCAAGCGUUAAUCGGAAUUACUGGGCGUAAAGCGUGCGCAGGCGGUUUGCUAAGACCGAUGUGAAAUCCCCGGGCUCAACCUGGGAACUGCAUUGGUGACUGGCAGGCUAGAGUAUGGCAGAGGGGGGUAGAAUUCCACGUGUAGCAGUGAAAUGCGUAGAGAUGUGGAGGAAUACCGAUGGCGAAGGCAGCCCCCUGGGCCAAUACUGACGCUCAUGCACGAAAGCGUGGGGAGCAAACAGGAUUAGAUACCCUGGUAGUCCACGCCCUAAACGAUGUCAACUAGUUGUUGGGGAUUCAUUUCCUUAGUAACGUAGCUAACGCGUGAAGUUGACCGCCGGGGAGUACGGUCGCAAGAUUAAAACUUAAAUGAAUUGACGGGGU
rnacentral:rRNA from 1 species